rnacentral:lncRNA from 1 species
UUUAUGUGUUUUUUUUAAAUAUUGGUGUCAUCAAUUGUUUGAAAUUUUGAAGAGAGAAGGACUAGUUUUCAAAGAGGGGUUGUUAUGAGUUGCCUCAGAUUCAGGGUACUGAAGUUUUUAUGAGAAAAAGGUACUUGCUUUACAGUGAUUUCAUGUGACUCUUGGAAGUUAGCUUUGCUUUUAACAGGUUAAUUCACAAGACCCUUUUCUUGUUACCUAUGUUUCUUGUGUUUUAAGGAUUAAAGAUUUAUGCCAAGUUUGGAUUUUUGACUCAUUACCUAUUUAGGGUUUUAGUAAUUGUGUGGAUGUAAGGAUCUUUUGUGGCUGUAGUUGCUUAGUGGGUAGAUAAGGAAGAGGGAAAGAAUAAAAAGUUGAAAUUUUUGAAGAGAAAAAAAGUUCUUGCUGUUGUGGCUAUUGUUGUGUUCUAGCUGUAGUUAGUGGUGGGUAGAUAAGGAAGAGGACAAACAAGAAAAAGCCUAAGAUUUUUGAAGGGAAAAAAGGGUGCUUUCUAUUUUUUUUUGUUAGACAAAUCUGAUUAGCAAUUUCUGUUAAGUAUUCUGAUUAAUGGGGCGUGGC